ACGAACGCUGGCGGCGUGCCUAAUACAUGCAAGUAGAACGCUGAAGGAGGAGCUUGCUCUUCUGGAUGAGUUGCGAACGGGUGAGUAACGCGUAGGUAACCUGCCUGGUAGCGGGGGAUAACUAUUGGAAACGAUAGCUAAUACCGCAUAACAGUAGAUGUUGCAUGACAUUUACUUAAAAGGUGCAAUUGCAUCACUACCAGAUGGACCUGCGUUGUAUUAGCUAGUUGGUGGGGUAACGGCUCACCAAGGCGACGAUACAUAGCCGACCUGAGAGGGUGAUCGGCCACACUGGGACUGCGACACGGCCCAGACUCCUACGGGAGGCAGCAGUAGGGAAUCUUCGGCAAUGGACGGAAGUCUGACCGAGCAACGCCGCGCGAGUGAAGAAGGUUUUCGGAUCGUAAAGCUCUGUUGUAAGAGAAGAACGAGUGUGAGAGUGGAAAGUUCACACUGUGACGGUAUCUUACCAGAAAGGGACGGCUAACUACGUG
rnacentral:rRNA from 1 species